AGAAAAACAAAACGGUAAAAAACUCUCGCUCACUCCGUCACUGCUAUAGAUCAACAAAACCAAAAUAAUCAUGGUGAUGAAAAUUUGGAUUCGGGUAAAUUACUGCUGGAGGCGAGGCUGGAGCCUGUUUUUCUUCUAACUUUCGAUGCAUCAAACAAUGUAUUUGCCAUCCAACGUGGAAAACAGCGGCCGUUCCGGACCAUCAGCAAUUGGCAGGUGCAUUUUCAAUUUCAAGGCUGCAGCUGCUGCAGACUUGACCGGAAUUGAACGUUGGAAUGCAGACUUGAUGGGCUUGCGGUGCUCCGGCUGAAGGUUCAGGUAUAGGAAAUUUCGAUGAACAAAUGAUUAAAUAAGAUCAAUAAAAGUACAUAAGUCAAACUAA